AAUGCUCUGAUUAGGAAGCACUGGGUCCUGAGCCAACACAUGUGCGAGGCUUAGCACCCCCUUAAUGUUUUCUGCUAUGAUCCACAAGGAAGGAGGAACAGGAUCUCUCGUCCUAAAAGAAAAGGCUGUGGCUGGUCAAGAGGCAAAGGAAACUGGGCAGAAACAAAGCAAAAUAAAACACCGGUUGCUUUGCAGCAGCUCUCCUGCGGACAGGCUGUCAUGACAUAACAAGUCCUGCCCUACGGGAGUGACUCCACUACAUGGAUAAGCUAACAAAGGCUCCCCCGGAACUACAGAGUUACAUGUCUGGUGCCAUUGUAUGACACAAGAAUCAUCUCUCCAAUUGAUGGGAAUUCCUUCAGUACAAAGAUGACACAGAGGAAGGCCCAGUAGGGAUCAAGGAGGAAGAAAACACAGAUCCUUUGUGAGAAGAGCUUGGCAGCUGAGGAUGGGGAGAGAAGAAGAGCUGGGAGGACGGACACACCGUAACAUGGGACAAAAGCCUGACGUGGGUGUGGGGGAUGCGUCUGCAUGUGUCCGCAUGGGUGUGCAUGUGCACAGGUGGGAGCAAAAUACCGAAGGAGACACCCUCACACAUGCUCCUUCUGUGUAACCACCUGGUCUGGAGGCCAGAGAGAUGAUGGUUUCCCUGAGCCAGGAGGUCCUAAAGGUGCAUUGCUUCACCUCGUCUUCUUUCCCAUUGAAGUCACUGCCAAGCAAAUGUGUGCUGAGCAAAUGGAUGUACUCACAUACUACUGGAAGACACAACUGAGGGAUGCUCCAGUGGACGAGUUAAAAUGUCAGACAAAAAAAUGAAUGCAGGGGGAAAACAAGAACAACAGCAGAAAACAUGAUGAGCAUCAUGAGUCCUGAAAUGCAAAAAUAAAUCAGGAACAGUUACUUUAAAACUCCGGAGUUUUCUGCAAUGUGGGGUUGAGAGAGGGCAGCUCCAGUGAAGACCUGCCUCUGGGGGAAGGGACUCUGGUUACACAGAGAAAAGUGAUCGGCGUCCUGUGUUCAGGAUCGACUGGCUACUGCAGAGCAAGUGUGCUGACAGCAGAGUCCCGAAGCCAUUUGUUGAGUCUAGAGAGCACGGCCCACAAGCUUAUCAGUCUGAUUUUCUGAUGAUUCUGGGCAAUUUAAUGAUAACCUUGGAUUCCUUCUUUCGGGGUCCUGACCCCUUGGCCUAUGCCUGUGUGAGCAAUACGCUUCUUAAAUACUUGUACUUACCUGUGAGCAGUGUUUUGAAAUCAGAUACCUCUAGAGGGGAGGCCAUGUCUGACCACUAACAAACAGGUAAAUGGCCCAGACAAGCGCCCCGACCAGGUGCUGGAGAGGACGUCGGUGGCCACGCUCUGCUGUCAGACCUGUGAGGACACCAAACAUGUUUCUGUUAAAGCAGCCAUCCUCCCACUCCAAACGGUGCAGAUAAAGCUGCGGGCUUUGGGGGGUUACCUGAGCCACGCUAGCCCUGAGCUCCUUUUGGCUGCUCUGGGCCUCUGAGGGACCCUGGAAGCCCGUGGCUCCAUGGAGCACAGUUUGGAAACCAUCUGUGCGGCCUCUGUAUUUUCCUCUGGCUCUGGCCCUGCGUAUGGCCCCAUGGAUUUCACUGGAAAGCAAGCUCUAGCCCAAACCCAAGACAUACUGAGUUCAGCCGCUCAUGGCUUGAGUCCUUCCCAUUUAACUGUUCUUUCUCUGCUGAUUUCAUUGUUCAGUAGACUACAUUUUUUAAAUGUGAAAUAGUACAAGCAAGCCACGUGCUACAAUAACCUAGUACACAUAUAACAAAAUAGGCCAAAACAGAGAGGAAACAGGAUGCAUGAAAAAUCCCUUCGAAACUGGACUUUUCAAACAUAGUACAAUGAUCUAGCUCUUGUGGAAGUACUCAUUGGCAGAAUCUUUGCAUUAACGAUGAGUUAGAGAAGCAGGCAGUGUACUGGGAAGAGCUCAGGC